rnacentral:rRNA from 1 species
GACGAACGCUGGCGGCGUGCCUAAUACAUGCAAGUUGAGCGCUGAAGGUUGGUACUUGUACCAACUGGAUGAGCAGAGAACGGGUGAGUAACGCGUGGGGAAUCUGCCUUUGAGCGGGGGACAACAUUUGGAAACGAAUGCUAAUACCGCAUAAAAACUUUAAACACAAGUUUUAAGUUUGAAAGAUGCAAUUGCAUCACUCAAAGAUGAUCCCGCGUUGUAUUAGCUAGUUGGUGAGGUAAAGGCUCACCAAGGCGAUGAUACAUAGCCGACCUGAGAGGGUGAUCGGCCACAUUGGGACUGAGACACGGCCCAAACUCCUACGGGAGGCAGCAGUAGGGAAUCUUCGGCAAUGGACGAAAGUCUGACCGAGCAACGCCGCGUGAGUGAAGAAGGUUUUCGGAUCGUAAAACUCUGUUGUUAGAGAAGAACGUUGGUGAGAGUGGAAAGCUCAUCAAGUGACGGUAACUACCCAGAAAGGGACGGCUAACUACGUG